rnacentral:rRNA from 1 species
CCUACGGGCGGCAGCAGUGAGGAAUAUUGGUCAAUGGGCGCGAGCCUGAACCAGCCAAGUAGCGUGAAGGAUGACUGCCCUACGGGUUGUAAACUUCGUUUAUAAAGGAAUAAAGUGAGGCACGGGUGCCUUUGUGGAUGUACAUUAGGAAUAAGGAACGGCGAAUUCCGUGCCGGCAGCCGCGGUAAGACGGAGGAUACUAGCGUUACCAGGAUUUAUUGGGUUGAAAGGGAGAGUAGAUGGGUUGGUAAGUCAGUUGUGAAAGUUUGCGGCUCAACCGUAAAAUUGCAAUUGAUACUGGCAGUCUUGAGUACAGUUGAGGUAGGCGGAAUUCGUGGUGUAGCGGUGAAAUGCUUAGAUAUCACGAAGAACUCCGAUUGCGAAGGCAGCUUACUAAACUGCCACUGACAUUGAUGCUCGAAAGUGUGGGUAUCAAACAGGAUUAGAUACCCCAGUAGUC